AGAAAAUAUCAUACACACACACACAUUUGGAAGGAAUUCUGGUUGUUGUUGGUUGGUUGGUUGGUUGGUUGGUCAUCUCGAGGUCAUCUCGCUGCCGUUUUUUUUUCUCUAGCUCUAUGGAUAAAAUAAUCGUUUUGGACAAAAGAUGUUUUUUUCUUUUUGUUGAUUGACUAAGAAUUGGGAACAUUUGUU